UGUGAUUAUUACGGUAUUUGUCUCCCUCUAUGAAGUCCUCACCUGAAGGGACCCUCACUCAUUCAUCUUGCCUGCCACACGAUGUGAGUUUCCAGCCUGUACAAUUGCCCUCGGAUUGGGACAUGACACCCAGGAAAGGCACUUCCUGGCACCGAGGGACAAAAGGCCACUGAAUUAGGAAAACCUGACUCUUGAUCAGAGAUGCUUCUCAAGAAAGCUCUUGAUCAGAAGAAGGAAAUGUGGAAAUAAAAGGAAACCUCAGUAAAAUGGAGUCAAAGAGGCUAGAAGGGGGAGCUCUCCUGCCAUACCACUCAACCUCAAUGACAGAAAGAACUGUCAGUUUACAGACCCCAACAGGAAAAGCUGUACACGGCAAACUCCUAGAAGAAACUGACUACCCAGCAACUCAGCCAAUGAGAAAUCAUCACGACUCUGGACUUGCAGGCACUUUUGUUCAAAACAACCCCUCCCAACUUCCUCCUCCUUCUGUUUUAAAUAAAGUUUCUCUCUUUUGCUUACCUA